rnacentral:rRNA from 1 species
AGUGAACGCUGGCGGCAGGCCUAAUACAUGCAAGUCGAACGGCAGCACAGCAGAGCUUGCUCUGUGGGUGGCGAGUGGCGGACGGGUGAGGAAUACAUGGGAAUCUGCCCAGUCGUGGGGGAUAACGUAUGGAAACGUACGCUAAUACCGCAUGCGCCCUACGGGGGAAAGCCGGGGACCGCAAGGCCUGGCGCGAUUGGAUGAGCCCAUGUUCGAUUAGCUAGUUGGCGGGGUAAAGGCCCACCAAGGCGACGAUCGAUAGCUGGUCUGAGAGGAUGAUCAGCCACACUGGAACUGAGACACGGUCCAGACUCCUACGGGAGGCAGCAGUAGGGAAUAUUGGACAAUGGGGGCAACCCUGAUCCAGCCAUGCCGCGUGAGUGAAGAAGGCCUUAGGGUUGUAAAGCUCUUUUACCAGGGAUGAUAAUGACAGUACCUGGAGAAUAAGCUCCGGCUAACUCCGUGCCAGCAGCCGCGGU